UGCCACUGUCUCUGUCUCUGCCGCAGUCACUGUUGGCCGGCCGCAGCCGGCUUCGGCUAGCUCAGUUGUAUUUUGCGUUCCACAGGCGACGGACGAAAGUUUUGUAAGCGCAUCGUGCGCGCUAUGAAAAUGCAACUGCAACACUGCAAAUUUAUGCACUCGGCUGCAUUUU